GUGAGGUCCUUUUUAUUGGCUCUGAGGGCAUGGUAUGCUUUGAGAUUUGGACAAUCCUCUCUACUUCUAGCUGGUCCCCAAUUAUAUAGGCUUACAUCUAAUUUAUCUGAGCUUCUAUUUGGCUGCUAGUCCCUGUACCCUGUGCCAUCUCACACUGAGUCAGGGGGGAGGUGAGUAUACCUGCCAGGCCGAGUGCUGAUUGAAGCUCAAAUAGGUUCUUUUUAGUGGAAAUCAAGAUCAUGAUAACUCUAGGGACUUUUUAAAAAAAAUAGCACUUUAUUUCAUUUUAAUUUCUUUAAGUUACCAU